rnacentral:rRNA from 1 species
GAACUGAAGAGUUUGAUCAUGGCUCAGAUUGAACGCUGGCGGCAGGCCUAACACAUGCAAGUCGAGCGGAUGAAGGGAGCUUGCUCCUGGAUUCAGCGGCGGACGGGUGAGUAAUGCCUAGGAAUCUGCCUGGUAGUGGGGGAUAACGUCCGGAAACGGGCGCUAAUACCGCAUACGUCCUGAGGGAGAAAGUGGGGGAUCUUCGGACCUCACGCUAUCAGAUGAGCCUAGGUCGGAUUAGCUAGUUGGUGGGGUAAAGGCCUACCAAGGCGACGAUCCGUAACUGGUCUGAGAGGAUGAUCAGUCACACUGGAACUGAGACACGGUCCAGACUCCUACGGGAGGCAGCAGUGGGGAAUAUUGGACAAUGGGCGAAAGCCUGAUCCAGCCAUGCCGCGUGUGUGAAGAAGGUCUUCGGAUUGUAAAGCACUUUAAGUUGGGAGGAAGGGCAGUAAGUUAAUACCUUGCUGUUUUGACGUUACCAACAGAAUAAG